rnacentral:rRNA from 1 species
CAAGUCGAGCGAAUCGAUGGGAGCUUGCUCCCUGAGAUUAGCGGCGGACGGGUGAGUAACACGUGGGCAACCUGCCUAUAAGACUGGGAUAACUUCGGGAAACCGGAGCUAAUACCGGAUACGUUCUUUUCUCGCAUGAGAGAAGAUGGAAAGACGGUUUACGCUGUCACUUAUAGAUGGGCCCGCGGCGCAUUAGCUAGUUGGUGAGGUAAUGGCUCACCAAGGCGACGAUGCGUAGCCGACCUGAGAGGGUGAUCGGCCACACUGGGACUGAGACACGGCCCAGACUCCUACGGGAGGCAGCAGUAGGGAAUCUUCCGCAAUGGACGAAAGUCUGACGGAGCAACGCCGCGUGAACGAAGAAGGCCUUCGGGUCGUAAAGUUCUGUUGUUAGGGAAGAACAAGUACCAGAGUAACUGCUGGUACCUUGACGGUACCUAACCAGAAAGCCACGGCUAACUACGUGCCAGCAGCCGCGGUAAUACGUAGGUGGCAAGCGUUGUCCGGAAUUAUUGGGCGUAAAGCGCGCGCAGGUGGUUCCUUAAGUCUGAUGUGAAAGCCCACGGCUCAACCGUGGAGGGUCAUUGGAAA